rnacentral:rRNA from 1 species
GCGUACGGGUGAGUAACACGUAGGUAAUCUACCUUGGAGUUCGGAAUAACCUGCCGAAAGGCGGGCUAAUACCGGAUAGUUCGGGAAAUUCGUAAUGGAUUUUUCGGGAAAGGGAGCCGGCAACGGCCCUCGCUCUAAGCGGAGCCUGCGGCCCAUUAGCUUGUUGGUGGGGUAAAAGCCUACCAAGGCGAUGAUGGGUAGCUGGUCUAAGAGGAUGAUCAGUCACACUGGAACUGAAACACGGUCCAGACUCCUACGGGAGGCAGCAGUGGGGAAUAUUGCGCAAUGGGCGAAAGCCUGACGCAGCCACGCCGCGUGAGUGAAGAAGGCCUGCGGGUUGUAAAGCUCUGUCUAAAGGGACGAAAAUGUUGCGAGUUAAUAGCUCGCAAAGUUGACGGUACCUUUAGAGGAAGCACCGGCUAACUCCGUGCCAGCAGCCGCGGUAAUACGGAGGGUGCAAGCGUUGCUCGGAUUUAUUGGGCGUAAAGGGGAGGUAGGUGGUCUUGUUUGUCCGGGGUGAAAGUCCCAAGCUUAACUUGGGAAGUGCCUCGGAAAC